UACGUAGGGUGCAAGCGUUGUCCGGAAUUAUUGGGCGUAAAGGGCUCGUAGGCGGUGUGUCGCGUCGGCCGUGAAAACCUGCAGCUUAACUGUGGGCUUGCGGUCGAUACGGGCAUCACUGGAGUUCGGCAGGGGAGACUGGAAUUCCUGGUGUAGCGGUGAAAUGCGCAGAUAUCAGGAGGAACACCUAUUGCGAAGGCAGCUCGCUGGGACGUAACUGACGCUGAGACGCGAAAGCGUGGGGAGCAAACAGG
rnacentral:rRNA from 1 species